rnacentral:rRNA from 1 species
UACCAGCAGCCCCGAGUGGUCGGGACGAUUAUUGGGCCUAAAGCAUCCGUAGCCGGUUUUACAAGUCCUACCGUUAAAUCCAGCUGCGUUAACCAGAUGGGCUGGCGGAGGAUACUAUAAGACUAGGAGGCAGGAGAGGCAAGCGGUACGUCAGUGGGUAGGGGUAAAAUCCGUUGAGUCCAUUGAAGACCACCAGUGGCGAAGGCGGCUUGCCCAGAA